rnacentral:rRNA from 1 species
AGCGAACGUUAGCGGCGGGCCUAACACAUGCAAGUCGAACGCGAAAGGUCUUCGGACUGAUUAGAGUGGCGCACGGGUGAGUAACACGUAGGUAAUCUACCCUUUGGCGGGGGAUAACGUUCCGAAAGGAGCGCUAAUACCGCAUAAGACCACGGAGUCUCCGGACGCUGUGGGAAAAGGUGGCCUCUUCUUGAAAGCUAUCACCGGAGGAUGAGCCUGCGUCCCAUCAGCUAGUUGGUAAGGUAAUGGCUUACCAAGGCAAAGACGGGUAGCUGGUUUGAGAGAAUGAUCAGCCACACUGGCACUGGAACACGGGCCAGACUCCUACGGGAGGCAGCAGUGAGGAAUAUUGGGCAAUGGGCGAAAGCCUGACCCAGCCACGCCGCGUGAGUGAUGAAGGCCCUCGGGUCGUAAAGCUCUGUGGAGAGGGACGAAAAAUACUGGGGUCUAAUAGGCCCGGACUUGACGGUACCUCUUUAGCAAGCACCGGCUAACUCUGUGCCAG